rnacentral:rRNA from 1 species
CGGGACUCUUACGAGGCCUCGUAAUCGGAAUGAGUACACUUUAAAUAUUUUAACGAGGAACAAUUGGAGGGCAAGUCUGGUGCCAGCAGCCGCGGUAAUUCCAGCUCCAAUAGCGUAUACUAAAUUUGUUGCGGUUAAAAAGCUCGUAGUUGCAUUUGUGCGCCGCACUGCCGGUGCACCGCAUCCGCGGUGAUACUGGCAUGUUUGCGGAGCAUAUCGUCGGUGAGCGGCCGGUAACACGGCCGUUCAAUAUCAAAAUCCUAUCGCGGUGCUCUUCAGUGAGUGUCGAGGUGGGCCGACAACUUUACUUUGAACAAAUUAGAGUGCUCAAAGCGGGCUCAAAUGCUGCUUGAAUAUUUCGUGCAUGGAAUAAUAGAAUAUGAUCUCGGUUCUAUUUUGUUGGUUUUCAGAACUCCGAGGUAAUGAUUAAUAGGGAUAACUGGGGGCAUUCGUAUUGCGACGUUAGAGGUGAAAUUCUUGGAUCGUCGCAAGACGAACAUCAGCGAAAGCAUUUGCCAAAGGUGUUUUCAUCAAUCAAGAACGAAAGUUAGAGGUUCGAAGGCGAUUAGAUACCGCCCUAGUUCUAACCGUAAAUAUGUCAUCUAGCGAUCCGCCGACGUUAUAACAAUGGCUCGGCGGGCAGCUUCCGGGAAACCAAAGAUUUUGGACUCCGGGGGGAGUAUGGUUGCAAAGCUGAAACUUAAAGGAA